rnacentral:rRNA from 1 species
AUAACGGUCCUAAGGUAGCGAAAUUCCUUGUCAGGUAAGUUCUGACCCGCACGAAAGGCGUAACGAUUUGGGCGCUGUCUCGGCAGCAGACUCGGUGAAAUCUUAGUACCUGUGAAAAUGCAGGUUACCCGCAACUAGACGGAAAGACCCCAUGGAGCUUUACUGUAGCCUGAUAUUGAAUUUUGAUCAAAGAUGUACAGGAUAGGUGGGAGGCGAAGAGACGUGUACGCCAGUAUACGAGGAGCCGCUGUUGGGAUACCACUCUUGUUUGAUUGAAGUUCUAACCUGCACCCAUGAACUGGGUGAGGGACCGUGUCAGGUGGGCAGUUUGACUGGGGCGGUCGCCUCCUAAAGAGUAACGGAGGCGCCCAAAGGUACGCUCAGAUUGGAUGGAAAUCAAUCGACGAGUGCAAAUGCAGAAGCGUGCUUGACUGUGAGACAAACAAGUCGAACAGGGACGAAAGUCGGGAUUAGUGAUCCGGCGGUGCCGAAUGGAAGGGCCGUCGCUCAACGGAUAAAAGCUACCCUGGGGAUAACAGGCUGAUCUCGCCCAAGAGUUCACAUCGACGGCGAGGUUUGGCACCUCGAUGUCGGCUCAUCGCAUCCUGGAGCUGAAUUCGGUUCCAAGGGUUGGGCUGUCCGCCCAUUAAAGCGGUACGCGAGCUGGGUUCAGAACGUCGUGAGACAGUUCGGUCCCUAUCUGUUGUGGGCGUUGGAGAUCUGAGGAGAGCUGUCCUUAGUACGAGAGGACCGGGAUGGACCUACCGCUGGUGCACCAGUUGUUCCGCCAGGAGCAUAGCUGGGUAGCUAAGUAGGGAAGGGAUAAGCGCUGAAAGCAUCUAAGCGCGAAGCCUACUCCAAGAUGAGAUCUCCCAUUCGUAUAACGAAGUAAGACCCCUUGAAGACGACGAGGUGGAUAGGUCAGAGAUGGAAGUGUAGCGAUACAUGGAGUUGACUGAUACUAAUAGGUCGAGGACUUAAUCAC